AUACGGAGGAUGCGAGCGUUAUCCGGAUUUAUUGGGUUUAAAGGGAGCGUAGGUGGGAUAUUAAGUCAGCUGUGAAAGUUUGGGGCUCAACCUUAAAAUUGCAGUUGAUACUGGUUUCCUUGAGUACGGUACAGGUGGGCGGAAUUCGUGGUGUGGCGGUUGAAUGCUUAGAUAUCACGAAGAACUCCGAUCGCGAAGGCAGCUCACCGGGCCGGAACUGACACUGAUGCUCGAAAGUGCGGGUAUCAAACAGGAUUAGAUACCCUGGUAGUCCGCACAGUAAACGAUGAAUACUCGCUGUUUGCGAUUCACUGUAAGCGGCCAAGCGGAAGCGUUAAGUAUUCCACCUGGGGAGUACGCCGGCAACGGUGAAACUCAAAUGAAUUGACGGGG
rnacentral:rRNA from 1 species